ACGUAGGGGGCGAGCGUUAUUCGGAAUUACUGGGUGUAAAGGGUAUGUAGGCGGCCCUUCAAGUCGCGUGUCAAAGUCCAGUGCUCAACGCUGGGUGUGCGCGCGAUACUGACGAGCUUGAGGGUUGGAGAGGUGAGUGGAAUUCCCGGUGUAGUGGUAAAAUACGUAGAUAUCGGGAAGAAUACCGGCGGCGCAGGCGUCUCACUAGGCAAUUACUGACGCUGAGAUACGAAAGCGUGGGGAGCAAACAG
rnacentral:rRNA from 1 species